AUGAACGCUGGCGGCGUGCCUAAUACAUGCAAGUCGAGCGAACAGACGAGGAGCUUGCUCCUCUGACGUUAGCGGCGGACGGGUGAGUAACACGUGGAUAACCUACCUAUAAGACUGGGAUAACUUCGGGAAACCGGAGCUAAUACCGGAUAAUAUAUUGAACCGCAUGGUUCAAUAGUGAAAGACGGUUUUGCUGUCACUUAUAGAUGGAUCCGCGCCGCAUUAGCUAGUUGGUAAGGUAACGGCUUACCAAGGCAACGAUGCGUAGCCGACCUGAGAGGGUGAUCGGCCACACUGGAACUGAGACACGGUCCAGACUCCUACGGGAGGCAGCAGUAGGGAAUCCUCCGCAAUGGGCGAAAGCCUGACGGAGCAACGCCGCGUGAGUGAUGAAGGUCUUCGGAUCGUAAAACUCUGUUAUUAGGGAAGAACAAAUGUGUAAGUAACUAUGCACGUCUUGACGGUACCUAAUCAGAAAGCCACGGCUAACUACG
rnacentral:rRNA from 1 species